UGUGAAGAUGCAGUGUACCCGCGGCAAGACGGAAAGACCCCGUGAACCUUUACUAUAGCUUGACACUGAACAUUGAGCCUUGAUGUGUAGGAUAGGUGGGAGGCUUUGAAGCGUGGACGCCAGUCUGCGUGGAGCCAACCUUGAAAUACCACCCUUUAAUGUUUGAUGUUCUAACGUUGGCCCCUUACCGGGGUUGCGGACAGUGUCUGGUGGGUAGUUUGACUGGGGCGGUCUCCUCCCAAAGCGUAACGGAGGAGCACGAAGGUUAGCUAAUCCUGGUCGGACAUCAGGAGGUUAGUGCAAUGGCAUAAGCUAGCUUGACUGCGAGCGUGACGGCGCGAGCAGGUGCGAAAGCAGGUCAUAGUGAUCCGGUGGUUCUGAAUGGAAGGGCCAUCGCUCAACGGAUAAAAGGUACUCCGGGGAUAACAGGCUGAUACCGCCCAAGAGUUCAUAUCGACGGCGGUGUUUGGCACCUCGAUGUCGGCUCAUCACAUCCUGGGGCUGAAGUAGGUCCCAAGGGUAUGGCUGUUCGCCAUUUAAAGUGGUACGCGAGCUGGGUUUAGAACGUCGUGAGACAGUUCGGUCCCUAUCUGCCGUGGGCGCUGGAGAAUUGAGGGGGGCUGCUCCUAGUACGAGAGGACCGGAGUGGACGCAUCACUGGUGUUCGGGUUGUCAUGCCAAUGGCACUGCCCGGUAGCUAAAUGCGGAAGAGAUAAGUGCUGAAAGCAUCUAAGCACGAAACUUGCCCCGAGAUGAGUUCUCCCUGAGACUU
rnacentral:rRNA from 1 species